GACGAACGCUGGCGGCGUGCUUAACACAUGCAAGUCGAACGGAAAGGCCCUGCUUUUGUGGGGUGCUCGAGUGGCGAACGGGUGAGUAACACGUGAGUAACCUGCCCUUGACUUUGUGAUAACUUCAGGAAACUGGGGCUAAUACCGGAUAGGAGCUCCUGCUGCAUGGUGGGGGUUGGAAAGGUUCGGCGGUUGGGGAUGGACUCGCGGCUUAUCAGCUUGUUGGUGGGGUAGUGGCUUACCAAGGCUUUGACGGGUAGCCGGCCUGAGAGGGUGACCGGCCACAUUGGGACUGAGAUACGGCCCAGAAUCCUACGGGACGCAGCAGUGGGGAAUAUUGCACAAUGGGCGGACGCCUGAUGCAGCAACGCCGCGUGCGGGAUGACGGCCUUCGGGUUGUAAACCGCUUUCGCCUGUGACGAAGAGUGAGUGACGGUAAUGGGUAAAGAAGCACCGGCUAACUACGUG
rnacentral:rRNA from 1 species